GGGCGGAGGAGGGGCGGGGAAUCCCACCCUGCGGGGCGGGGAUGGCGCCGCGUCACUGCGUGGGGCCGCCCACACAGAGGGGGGGGGAGGACGGGGGGGGGAGCGGCGAUGGGACCCAUAAGUGUGGGGCGGGGGGUGCCCGAAUGGCUGCCCGUAAAGGCGCAGCGAAGCGCGGAACUGUGGGGCAAAAAGGUCCCCGAGUGGCCCCGGUGAGCCCACGGAGAGCCCCAUAAGUGUGGGGCGGGAGGAGCCCGGGUGGCGCACAUCAACCCACGGCAGAGCCCACAGGUGUGGGGCAGAAGGUCCCCAAGAGGCCCCCGUGAGCCCAUAGGGAACCCCACAAGUGUGGGGCAGCAGCUCUCCAAGUGACCCCCAGGAACCCAUGGCAAACCCCAUAAGUGUGGGGCAGAAGGUCCCCAGGUGACCCCCGUGAGCCCAUAUGGAACCCCACAGAUGUGUGGCAGAACAUCUCCAACAGACCCCCAUCAACCCACAGCAAACCCCAUAAGUGUGGGGCAGAAGGUCCCCAAGAGACCCCCGUGAGCCCAUAGGAAACCCCACAAGUGUGGGGCAGAAGGACCCAAGAGACCCCCGUGAGCCCAUAGGGAACCCCACAAGUGUGGGGCAGCAGCUCUCCAAGUGACCCCCAUAAACCCAUGGGAAACCCCAUAAAUGUGGGGCAGAACAUCUCCAACAGACCCCCAUGAACCCACAGCAAUCCCCAUAAGUGUGGGGCAGAAGGUCCCCAGGUGACCCCUAUGAGCCCAUAGGGAACCCCACAGAUGUGGGGCAGAAGAUCUCCAAUUGACCCCAGUGGGCUCACGGUGAACCCCAUAAGUGUGGGGCAGACGGUCCCCAAGUGAUCCCCCAUAUCCUGCCCAGUACCUCCCAGUAUCCCACCCCCAUAUCUCCCAGUAUCUCCCAGUAUCCCCCAGUAUCCCCCAAUAUCUCCCAGUAUCCCACCCCAGUAUCUCUCAAUAUCUCCCAAUAUCUCCCAGUAUCCCCCAGUAUCUCCCAAUAUCUCCCAGUAUCCCACCCCAGUACCCCCCAGUACCCCGCAGUACCCCCCAUUAUCUCCCAGUACCCCCCAGUAUCCCCCGUUAUCUCCCAGUACCCUCCAGUACCCCCAGUACCCCCCAGUAUCCCACCCCAGUACCCCCAGUACCCCGCAGUACCCCCCAUUAUCUCCCAGUACCCCCCAUUAUCUCCCAGUACCCCGCAGUACCCCGCAGUACCCCGCAGUCCCCCCCAGCACCGCAGCAGCCGCACUCGUUCUGCCAUCUCCCCGACAGCUCCCGGUGCCCCCCAAUCCCCUCCCGGUCCCCCCCGUUUGAAGCCCCCCCCCCCCAUUCCCAUUCCCAUUCCCAUUCCCGGGGCGGUUCCGUCGGGGCGGUGGGCGGAGCGGGGAACCCCCCGUGGGUGUGGACA
rnacentral:lncRNA from 7 species